rnacentral:hammerhead_ribozyme from 1 species
AUCCAGCUGUCGAGUCCCAAAUAGGCCGAAAUGUGCAUCCUGGAU